ensembl:lncRNA
CCACACUUACAUUAAUCUCAACGUUUGCUGGAUUGCUAGCUCUUUUCCUGAUAACAUCUUAUUACAGCUGGAUCUAAAUGACCUGCACAUCUGAGAGCUGAUGUAUUCUAAACUACAUCAUUUGAUUUAAUUAAAAUACAGCUUCUUCCCACAACCUUUUCUCAUUUGUGCUACACAUGAAUGUUUAAUAGUCAAACCUAUGAGAAAUCUGUGCUCACACCAUGGCCAGUAAAGCCAGCGGGGCUUUUGUAACUCCUGUCACCUCACCCAUGGAUCCCUAACAGCAAAGUGAAAUUAAUAGCACAGCAGGUUAUUCCUCUUCUUUCAACAUUCCUCCACAGUAGGUAGGUCCAGAAGCCAUUUCAACAGAGGUAGUAAGAAGGAAUUAAUCACCAAUAAUUAAACAGACUCUGAUUUUGACAUCGACAAAAUUAAAAUUCAUUUACAGCCCACUGAUGGACAGUAUAACUAAAAGACAAUAUACCCUUAAGCACCUUUUUAUUGCUGACAGUAAUACUUGGGUUAGAAUUAGCACAGCGUGGUUUUUAAAUCUCAAACUGAGACUGCAGAGAAGGCAGUUAAAAAAGGGCUGUUUGUUGGCGGGUUGGCUUUUUUGGUGGGGUGUGUUGUGUUUUUUUUCUCCCUAACUUGCAAACUGAGCAAACUCGAUCUGGAAGUCAUUAACAGAUAAUAAACAUAACCUCCCCCCACUCACUCCCAAGAUGCCAUCUCAAGAGUCACUUUUCAGAAUACAGUUGUAUUUUUACAACAUGUCAUCCUACAGAGAAGAGCCCCACAGACAUUCGUUUUAUCUGAUUUCUCCCUUACCGCUAAGGAAUUGGUGCAUUCUCUACAGCAGGACCCAGUUCCUGGCAAGGAAAACGAAAUGGAGUGAAAGGAGAAGGAAGUUGGAAAAGAAGUAUGAGACAUUCAGGAAUUUGAAUGAAUUACAAACAAUGCUUUUCAAAACCUGACUUCAAUUUAAAAAGAGAAGAUCCUUAGAGUAGUGGUGCUCCUGCCAUUGUGGCCAAAGGGUGUGAAGAAGGGUUUCUACAGAGGAGAUUCUGUUCUAUCUCACUGAGAUUCAUAAGUCUGCAUUUUGUCAGUGAAGAAAGAAGCACAGCUUAUCACCUCCCUUAUUAAAAAAGGAACUCAAAAUCAGGCAUGGUAUAAACACAACGGGAUCCGCUUUGCUAAACUUAAAUGUUACCAUCCUGGUCCUAUGAGCCUUGGAUGAAAAUGGAUUUGUUGAAGAAAGAAAGAUCUUUCUUUCUUUCUUUUGAAGAAAGACCCAAGGAAGAUUUCAAAGAAAGAUAUUCAGUACUACAGAGACUAAGCACAGGAUAAGCAGAGCACAGAACAACGCAUCAGACAGAGACUGGAGAUUGAAAAGUUGGACGUUGAAGAAGUCAAUGAUGGAAAGAUAUUGCAAGUUGUUAUUUAAAUGACAUUCUAACAUCAAAAUUAAGAACAGCUUUGAGAAAUCAGAUACCACUUAUUUCCACUGACACUACUCAAAAACUUGCAGAGAACACAAGAAAGAGAUGCCUUUCUAGCAAGCCUGUGGAGCUAAGAAGCAUGGGCUGUGAGUAAGAAUGGAAUUAGAGAAUUAAGAAAAAAACAAACAAGAUUUGCUAUUGAUUCUUCCUCAUUUAGAUAUUUUAUAUAUAUAUGGACUAGGCUUUCAGAUCUCAUGAGAAAAUUUUAGAAGAAAAAACGAACGUAUUAUGAGUUUAUAAGGGUAAGAAUAUCAGAGAAAUAAUUGCUGUAUCCGACAUACACAGAAUGCUUUAAAAUCUGACUUCUCUUAACAGGAAAAAAAACCAAACAACAAAAACAAACCAAGACUUCUCUGGACUGUUUCUUUGUAAAACAGAAUGUAAAAGUAGCGCCAGUCAAACCAAAGGUACACGCAGUGCAGCAUUUUACUUCCAACUCUGACCAAUAUGAGAUGCCUGAAGAUGCCUGUAAGAG